UUCAAGAGUCUUUCUCUCCUUAUCCCCCGAGCAUUUCGGUCCCUCGUGAUUCGACUUCUCUUUCUGUAGCUUAGUAUAGUAAGGUGAGCGCUGAAGCGCUGCACGAAUCUUUCUUAGAAAGAUUCAGCGACGAAGUUCUGCCCCUGCAGAGCCCGACUCCUAGCUAAAACCCCCUUGUUUCGUCGAAGGAAAAUAGAAUCGUUAGAAGCAAGCGCUGCCCGAUUUUGGAAUCAUCACCUUAACAAGUAACAGGUAAAUCGAAGGGAAAAAUGUACUCAGUGAUGUCUUGUUGUUUGUUUAACUAGUAUCGAACAAUCUACUUUUUGGGAAUGUAAUGUUAUGAAACAAUGUACUAAAUGUAAACACUACCAGUUGUAC